GGAUAUGAAGAAAAAAGAAAAUAUGGAUUUUUGAAACACAUGACACCCCUUACUACAUCCUUGAAAAGUGGAGUCCAGAGCACUGCCACAGCUUAACAGUGCCUCCCCGUGGUAAGGAAUCCAACUGCAGGCUGAGUAACUCCACAGUCUCAGAAUCUGGACCAAAUUCCCUUCCAUCUCACCAUGGCAAGAAAACUACUCAUGGAAAAAUCAACCAGUGACUUAAGGAAAGGCCUGAAUAGGCAGCCAUCAACAAGCCAGGAAGAGAGCUCUCAGCAGAAACUGAUCAUGCUGGCAUCUUGAUCUGGGACUUUUAGCUUCCAGAACCACAAGAAGAUAAAUUUCUGCUGUUGAAGCCACCCAUUCUAAGGUAUUUUGUUAUGGCAGCCCAAGCAGCCUAAUACACCAACCCAGACUGCAAACAAUAGAACUUGGCACACUUGUUGCCAUCAUCCAUGGAAACAUGCACCUUUAUUUAUUGUUUUCUGUACAUGACUUAGUAAAGCAUGAAUGACAGUUAAAUACAAGGUCUAGAAAUGGAAUUUUUCACCUAAAAUGUGUAUUUAAAUUGCUGAUCUUUGCAAUUUUUUUAUGUGAGAUUCAAACUAAGUUCAAGAGAAAAAUCAUUAUCAAAUUGGAGUUCUAAGUCAACUACAAACUGAUAUUUUUGUUUGAGAGGUGAUAAAGUUUUAAAUGAGGUACAAGUAUAUUAAAAGGGAGAUUUUUUUAAAUGCUAGUUAAGGAUUUGGGAAUAUCAGGAAUUUCAGAUUUAGGGUUGCACUAAUAUUUUUAUGUAGAAAUUCAGGAUAAUAUUAGAGAUGUCUCAUCAGUAAUCAGAGAUGCAGUUCAUAUUAUUAUGAAGAAUCAUAAACUUUGUGGAAAAAGGCUUUUGAUAAAAUCUUUUUGAUUGGAACUAUCAAAUGAGAUGGGUUCUUAAGUGCUAUUCCAAUGAUUAUUCAUAGUAAAUGUGGGAAACAAACUGAUUCUAAACUUAGAGUCUUAAAUUAUAAUGUGGCCGUUACUUUCUAACUCAUUUUAGUAAGACUAGAAGAACUUCAGCUGUUUGAGAAUAGCAGAUGUAGGGAGAUUUAUAAACUAAUAAGCAUUGGAUUAUGUGUAUUUGUAUGUAUGUAUGUAUGUAGGUAUAUACCUAUGUCCCACUGCUUUCAUUUUUCAUAGUAAAAUUCUUUAUUGAAUUGGUUCAAUGACUGUCUAUAUAGAAUUUGAUUAUAAUUAAGGAAUCAUAAUAAUAUCAGUAUAUAUUAUACCUAUGCCAGAUUUUCACGAUGCUUUUACAAAAUAUCUACAUAUUUAAUUUGAUUUUAUAUUUGGCUUUGAGCUGGAAGAGAAAAUUAUUUAACUUAAUUUCCACAUUGGCAUAGUAAAUGUGUAAAACCACUGGAAGAAUGAUAAUGAAAUUUGGCAUUAUAUUUUAUAUCAAUUUCAAAUAUGAAUUUAACUUCAAGAUGUGGCUUUAGGUGAAUUGUAAAGAGACUUAGUGACAUAAAUAUCUGUUCCAAGUCAAAAUGUGACUUUAGGUGAAAAGAGACUUAGUAACAUAAAAAUGUAUUUCAAAACUUAAAUAAAUAAUGUAACUUGUUGAUUAAUAACAGCCCUCCCAGAAAUAACUACAUCCUAACCCCUAGAACCUAUAAAUAUGUUAUGUUAAAUGGCAUAGCAGAAUUAAAAUUGCAGAUGAAGUUAAGUUUGCUAAUCUCAUGACCUUAAGAUAAAGACAUUAUCCUAAAUUGCCCAGGCGGGCCCAGUGUAAUCAGAAGGCUCCCUGAAAGUGGAAUAGGGAGUUCUGGUUGUGACUCAGUAGGUUUCAAACCUAACUAGUAACCAUGAGGAUACGGGUUUGAUCCCUGGCCUGACUCAGUGGGUUAAGGAUCCGUCAUUGCCUUAAGCUAUGGUGUAAGUCACAGACAUGGCUCAGAUCCUGUAUUGCUGUGGCUGUGGCAUAGGACUGCAGCUGCAGCUCUGAUUUGACUCCUAUCCUGGGAACUUCCAUAUGUUGCAAGCGUGGCCCUGAAAAACCAAAACAAACAAACAAACAAAAAAAACCCCAAAAAACCAAAAGUGUAAUAGGUCUCUAAAAGUGAAAGUAAGAGAUGUGGCAAUGGAAGAGGUCAGAGAGAAGGAUUUGAACCCCAUUUGCUGGCUAAAAUACCUACUUACUUUACUUUGUAAUUUCGUCUUCUAUACGCAAGUAAGUUUUGUUUGCUUGAACUUUGUGCAAGUUUAAUCACAUUGUAUGGUUGUCUUUCUCAUUUGCAUUGUGUUUACAAGAUCCUUAAUGGUUAUGGCUUGGAGUAGAUAUCUAUUCAUUUGUGUUGCUUUGUAGUACCCACUAACUGUAUAUACCUCAAUUGUUUAUGCAUUCUACUUUUGAUGGACAUUUGUGAUGUUUUCUGUUUGAGCCUGUUAAAAUGGUUCUAUGAACGUUUGUGUGUGUGCGUUGAUGUGGAUUUCUUGCUGUAGAUCACUGUCUUUCCUAAGUUUUGGAUAUUUGUCAUUAUGUCCUAAAAGUUGUCCCUGCUCCAUUAUUUUUCUCUCAUUCUGAGACAGCAACAAAAUAUGUUAGGUCUUCUCAUUUUAUCUCCAUAUCUCCUCUUCUAUAUUUUCUAUCUAUUUUGUCAUUUGUGACUGAAGUAUGGAUUAUUUUCUUAAUAAUUAACUCUAUCUUCAGUUGUAUCUAUCUAUAGGCAUACUUCUUUUUAUCACAUCUUGCUUUAUUGCAUUUUGCAGAUAAUGUGUUUUUUACAAGUAGAAGGUUUGUGGCAACCCUGCCUUGACAGAUGAUGGUCAGGUGAUAGCAAUAAAGUAUUUUUAAUUAAGGUGUAUGCAUUGUUUUAGACAUAAUGCUAUUGCAUACUUGAUAGACUGCAGUAGAGUGUAAACAUAAUUUUAUAUGCACUGGGAAACCAAAAAAAUUGUGUGAUUUACUUUAUUGAAGCACUCUGGAACUGAACCCACAAUAUCUCCAAGGUAUGCCUGACUAUCCAUUGAAUUUUUAAUUUCAUUUAUUUUAUUUAAAUUUUUAAAAUAUCUACUUAGUUUUUUUUCCAUACUUACUCCAUCACUUUUUAGAAUUCUGUUUCUCAUACGUACUUUCCAGCUUGGAUUUCAUUUCUGUUACAAAUAUGAAGCUCCCAUAGUAUAUGCCAAUUCCAAUAGCUGAAAAUUUUGUGUUUUGUUUGUGGGCUAUCUACUUAUUCAGUUUGUUCUCGCUUAUAUUUUACAACAUGUGUGUAUAAUCUGGACAUUUUAUUAAGAUGUUGUUUGUCAGUCUUAUCU
rnacentral:lncRNA from 1 species